rnacentral:rRNA from 1 species
UUCGCCNUUCUCCGGUUGAUCCCGCCGGAGGCUACUGCUAUUGGAAUUCGACUAAGCCAUGCGAGUCAAGGUGUCUUCGGACGCCGGCAUACGGCUCAGUAACACGUAGGUAACCUACCCUCAGGACUGAGAUAACCCCGGGAAACUGGGGCUAAUAUUAGAUAGAUAAAAGAUACUGGAAUGUUCUUUUAUCCAAAGCUUUUGCGCCUGAGGAUGGGCCUGCGCCCGAUUAGGUUGUUGGUGGGGUAAUGGCCCACCAAGCCUACGAUCGGUACGGGCAGUGGGAGCUGAAGCCCGGAGUUGGGGACUGAGACAAGGCCCCAGGCCCUACGGGGCGCAGCAGGCGCGAAACCUCUGCAAUGCGGGAAACCGUGACAGGGGGAUUCCAAGUGCUCAUGCAUUGCAUGGGCUGUUCUUUGGUCUAAGUAACCAGAGGAGUAAGGGCUGGGCAAGACCGGUGCCAGCCGCCGCGGUAAUACCGGCAGCUCAAGUGGUAGCCGCGAUUAUUGGGCCUAAAACGUUCGUAGCCGGAUAAGUAAGUCUUUGGUUAAAUCCUGCGACUUAACCGUGGGAAAUCUAGAGAUACUGCUUGUCUUGAGACCGGGAGAGGUUGGAGGUACUCCCAGGGUAGGGGUGAAAUCCUGUAAUCCUGGGGGGACCACCUGUGGCGAAGGCGUCCAACUGGAACGGGUCUGACGGUGAGGGACGAAACCUAGGGGAGCGAGCCGGAUUAGAUACCCGGGUAGUCCUAGGCGUAAAUGAUGCGAGUUAAGUGUGGGGGCAUCCACGAGAUGGCCCUGUGCUGUAGGGUAGCCGUUAAACUCGCUGCCUGGGGAGUACGGUCGCAAGGCUGAAACUUAAAGGAAUUGGCGGGGGAGCACCACAAGAGGUGGAGGCUGCGGUUCAAUUGGAUUCAACGCCGGG